rnacentral:rRNA from 1 species
UACGGAGGGUGCGAGCGUUGUCCGGAAUCACUGGGCGUAAAGGGCGCGUAGGUGGCUUCUCAAGCGCGCGGUGAAAGCCCGGGGCUCAACCCCGGGUCGGCCGUGCGGACUGGGAGGCUCGAGCACUGUAGGGGCGGGUGGAAUUCCGGGUGUAGCGGUGGAAUGCGUAGAGAUCGGGAGGAACACCAGUGGCGAAGGCGGCUCACUGGGCCGGACCUGACGCUGAGGCGCGAAAGCGUGGGGAGCGAUCCGG